AGCUGUUAUCUCCUCCACACUGUUACCAUCUACCCAACUUGUUUUCAAAACCCACUCAGAGUGACAACUCGCCAUGUCCUCCAUGAAAAAGGCCUGUGGAAGUGAAAGCAAAUAGUUUGUGGCGGACUUUAAACGAGAGGAGGGUUGAUGAAACUUUUCUGCUUGGGAAACAUCUUUCAGUGGUCUGCUGCAGUGAGGAUUACAGAUUGCUACCAGAUGCAACGUCUCCCAUGUGCCAACCAGUUCCUGGUUAGGAUUCCUUCGGUGUUCGGGUUUUUACUGGGACUUAAAUUAUCUGUUGAGGUCUACGCCUCUACAAAACAGGUUUGUCCACAUGCCACCUGACAACAUGAAGAUCCUGAUCCUUGUUCUGCUGCUCCUGCUGUGUAGCACUCAAGUGCUCACGCUCAGAUGCUACACCUGUGAAGAUGAGAAUGAUGAAGACUGUAAGAUGGAAACAAAUUGCACUUCAUCAGCUAACUACUGCAUGACAGAGGAGAGAGAUGACAAAUUAUAUCGAACUUGUGAGGAACUGUGUUUCGACAUGAACCUCUGCUGCAGUACCGACCUUUGCGAACUUUAAGAGAAAUCACCUAAAUCCGAAUCUGAUGGAAGAAGAUUAGUUUGUUUAUCAGUUUUUGUUUUAAUUUUUAAUGAAAUCUACAAAUGUCAAAUUAUGCAGUCUCAUUCAUCGUCACACAAACCGUGUAACACACUGGUGUUUUUGUUUUUUUGGUGAAGAGCUAAUGUUGGAGGCGGAGCAACCACACAUACACACGCAAACACACACUUAAUCCCUUCCUGAUGUCACUUAGUGGGUCAUUGCAACAGUCUGCUUCUAUGUGGGUCGCUGUCUGUCUCUGCUGCAAUGUGAAUUUGGACUCCUCUGUUUCCAAAUCAUGAAAUGGAAAAAAGAAUAAAUCUGUUACUUGAUCUCA